GGAUAAGAGCCUCUUUGCACAACUGCGUGAGGAUGACAUGCAUCAAACUUACAGUAUUCUCCUUCUACGCAGGUGUGCUGGCUGUCACGUUGGUUGGUUAUUUAUGAGAGUGGCAACCACAUUCUAUAACUGAACUGACACCACUGAUCUAUAUAUAUAUAUAUAACUGGAUUGCUCAUGACGUCACAACGGUGAAGCCACCAUCUUUGUAUUCCCUAACAUUCUGUACUCCCUUUGGGUCUUAAUGGGAAAUCAUCUGUUUUUGCAGCAUUACUUUGAGCGGAGUACGUGUUACCUCAAUAGGAACAAGCUUAAGAAACUGAGUGCAGGCCUGAACACGGCCCAACUCGCAGGAAUAAUUUCUAAAGUGGUCAAUUGGAAUUCACGAGGAGCACAAGGAUAUUGUAGAAGUUAAACAAGGUAAGUUUGCAGUUUGGAUUUCAAUAAUCAUCCCAUUGAAUGUUAGAUACAACCGGAAUUGGUUUGCAACAGGAGGAUGUAUGAGGAGACAAUUGUCAGCCUGGCUUCA